AGUGAACGCUGGCGGUAUGCCUAACACAUGCAAGUCGAACGGCAGCACAGUAAGAGCUUGCUCUUACGUGUGUCGAGUGGCGGACGGUUGAGUAAUACACCGGAAUCUACUUUUUCGUGGGGGAUAACGUAGGGAAACUUACUCUAAUACCGCAUACGACCUACGUGUGAAAGCAGGGGAUCUUCUGACCUUUCGCGAUUGAAUGAGCCGAUGUCGGAUUAGAUAGUUGGCGGGGUAAAGGCCCACCAAGGCGACGAUCCGUAGCUGGUCUGAGAGGAUGAUCCGACAGACUGGAACUGAGAAACGGUAGCGACUCCUACGGGAGGAAGCAGUGGGGACUAUUGGACGAUGGGCGAGAGGCUGAUACUGCAAUACCGCGUGAGUGAAGAAGGAGUUAGGGUUGUAAAGCCCUUUUGUCGGGAAAGAAAAGAAGCAGGUUAAUACCGCGCUGUAAUGACAGUACCCAAAGAAUAAGCACCGGCUAACUUCGUG
rnacentral:rRNA from 1 species